AGAGUUUGAUCAUGGCUCAGAUUGAACGCUGGCGGCAGGCCUAACACAUGCAAGUCGAGCGGUAGCACAGAGAGCUUGCUCUCGGGUGACGAGCGGCGGACGGGUGAGUAAUGUCUGGGAAACUGCCUGAUGGAGGGGGAUAACUACUGGAAACGGUAGCUAAUACCGCAUAACGUCGCAAGACCAAAGAGGGGGACCUUCGGGCCUCUUGCCAUCGGAUGUGCCCAGAUGGGAUUAGCUAGUAGGUGGGGUAAAGGCUCACCUAGGCGACGAUCCCUAGCUGGUCUGAGAGGAUGACCAGCCACACUGGAACUGAGACACGGUCCAGACUCCUACGGGAGGCAGCAGUGGGGAAUAUUGCACAAUGGGCGCAAGCCUGAUGCAGCCAUGCCGCGUGUGUGAAGAAGGCCUUCGGGUUGUAAAGCACUUUCAGCGGGGAGGAAGGCGAUAAGGUUAAUAACCUUGUCGAUUGACGUUACCCGCAGAAGAAGCACCGGCUAACUCCGUGCCAGCAGCCGCGGUAAUACGGAGGGUGCAAGCGUUAAUCGGAAUUACUGGGCGUAAAGCGCACGCAGGCGGUCUGUCAAGUCGGAUGUGAAAUCCCCGGGCUCAACCUGGGAACUGCAUUCGAAACUGGCAGGCUAGAGUCUUGUAGAGGGGGGUAGAAUUCCAGGUGUAGCGGUGAAAUGCGUAGAGAUCUGGAGGAAUACCGGUGGCGAAGGCGGCCCCCUGGACAAAGACUGACGCUCAGGUGCGAAAGCGUGGGGAGCAAACAGGAUUAGAUACCCUGGUAGUCCACGCCGUAAACGAUGUCGAUUUGGAGGUUGUGCCCUUGAGGCGUGGCUUCCGGAGCUAACGCGUUAAAUCGACCGCCUGGGGAGUACGGCCGCAAGGUUAAAACUCAAAUGAAUUGACGGGGGCCCGCACAAGCGGUGGAGCAUGUGGUUUAAUUCGAUGCAACGCGAAGAACCUUACCUGGUCUUGACAUCCACAGAACUUUCCAGAGAUGGAUUGGUGCCUUCGGGAACUGUGAGACAGGUGCUGCAUGGCUGUCGUCAGCUCGUGUUGUGAAAUGUUGGGUUAAGUCCCGCAACGAGCGCAACCCUUAUCCUUUGUUGCCAGCGGUCCGGCCGGGAACUCAAAGGAGACUGCCAGUGAUAAACUGGAGGAAGGUGGGGAUGACGUCAAGUCAUCAUGGCCCUUACGACCAGGGCUACACACGUGCUACAAUGGCAUAUACAAAGAGAAGCGACCUCGCGAGAGCAAGCGGACCUCAUAAAGUAUGUCGUAGUCCGGAUUGGAGUCUGCAACUCGACUCCAUGAAGUCGGAAUCGCUAGUAAUCGUAGAUCAGAAUGCUACGGUGAAUACGUUCCCGGGCCUUGUACACACCGCCCGUCACACCAUGGGAGUGGGUUGCAAAAGAAGUAGGUAGCUUAACCUUCGGGAGGGCGCUUACCACUUUGUGAUUCAUGACUGGGGUGAAGUCGUAACAAGGUAACCGUAGGGGAACCUGCGGUUG
rnacentral:rRNA from 1 species